rnacentral:rRNA from 1 species
UACGGAGGGGGCUAGCGUUGUUCGGAAUUACUGGGCGUAAAGCGCACGUAGGCGGUCUUGUAUGUCGAUUGUGAAAGCCCCGGGCUCAACCUGGGAACUGCGGUCGAAACUGCAAGACUUGAAUGUUGGAGAGGUUGGGGGAAUACCUAGUGGAGAAGUGAAAUUCGUAGAGAUUAGGUGGAACACCAGAGGCGAAGGCGCCUGACUGGCCAAACAUUGACGCUGAGGCGCGAAAGCGUGGGUAGCAAACAGG